UCGAGAAUCUUCCGCAAUGGGCGAAAGCCUGACGGAGCGACGUCGCGUGAUGGACGAAGUGCUUCGGCACGUAAACAUCUUUUAUGUGGGAUGAAAUUAUUGACAGUACCACAUGAAUAAGGGGCUCCUAACUCUGUGCCAGCAGGAGCGGUAAUACAGAGGCCCCAAGCAUUAUCCGGAAUCACUGGGCGUAAAGGGUGUCGAGGCGGUCGUAUUAGUCGUUUGUAAAAUCCGUGGGCUCAACCUACGGCGCGCAAGCGAAACGGUACGACUUGAGGUUUGGAGAGGUGCGUGGAACUCACGGUGUAGGGGUGAAAUCCGUUGAUAUCGUGGGGAACACCAAAGGCGAAGGCAGCGCACUGGCCAAAAUCUGACGCUCACACACGAAAGCUAGGGUAGCGAAGAGGAUUAGAUACCCUCGUAGUCCCUGAGCGGGCUGGCAAGGCGCAU
rnacentral:rRNA from 1 species